rnacentral:rRNA from 1 species
GACGAACGCUGGCGGCGUGCUUUACACAUGCAAGUCGAACGGUAAGGCCCUGCUUUGGUGGGGUGCUCGACUAGCGAACGGGUGAGUAACACGUGAGUAACCUGCCCUUGACUUUGGGAUAACUUCAGGAAACUGGGGCUAAUACCGGAUAGGAGCUCCUGCUGCAUGGUGGGGGUUGGAAAGUUUCGGCGGUAGGCGAUGGACUCGCGGCUUAUGACCUUGUUGGUGGGGUAGUUGCAUACCAAGUGUUUGACGGGUAGCCGACCUGACAAGGUGACCGGGGACCUGAGGACUGAGAGACGCAGCAGACUGCUACGGGAGGCAACAGUCGGGAGUAUUGUACAGCAGGCGGAAGCGUGGUACAACAGCGCUGGGUGCGGGAAGAGGGCCUGCAGGUUACAAACCGCUUCUGCCUGAGACGAAGCGUGAGUGACGGUAAUGGGUGAAGAAGCACCGGCUAACUACGUG